rnacentral:lncRNA from 1 species
UGUGCGAAUAUUGAGCUGCACGUAAAGUAGAUGAGACACAGUAUUUAACGAGGUUCGGCUAUGCCUACGUCCCCGGAGAGCAGCAGUAGUAACUUUUCCACUAUGUAAAAUAAUAGGGCUACAACUUUAGUGUUUACAAUAUGUGUGGCUCACUGAAUUUUCUCUCUAGGAGAAUUUCUCUCUGCUCUCUCUUUCCUCUUUCUUCCUUCUCUUCCUCUUCUCUCUUUCCUCUUUUCUCUUUCCCCUUCUUUCUUUCCUCUUCUCUCUUUCCUCUUCUCUUUCCUCUUCUCUCUUCUCUCUUUCUUUCCUCUUCUUUUUCCGUUUCUCCCUUUCUCU